rnacentral:rRNA from 1 species
GACGAACGCUGGCGGCGUGCCUAACACAUGCAAGUCGAACGAAGCGGCGAACGGGUGAGUAAUACGUGGGUAACCUGCUCUCCUUUUUGGGCUAAGCCUUGGAAACGGUGUCUAAUACCGAAUAAAGGGGGAUGGGCUCGCGGCCGAUCAGCUUGUUGGUGGGGUGAUGGCCUACCAAGGCGGUGACGGGUAGCCGGCCUGAGAGGGCGACCGGGCACAUUGGGACUGAGAUGCGGCCCAGACUACUACGCAGUGGAGCAGUUGGGGAUAUUGGAGAAUGGGCGAAAGCGUGAUGCAGCGAGUCUGCAUGGGGGAUGAGGGCUUUCGGGUUGUAAACCUCUGUCGCAAGCGAACGGGUAGGUGGAGAAGAAGCGCCGGCUAACUACGUGCCAGCAGCCGCGGUAAUAC